UACGAAGGGUGCAAGCGUUACUCGGAAUUACUGGGCGUAAAGCGUGCGUAGGUGGUUCGUUAAGUCUGAUGUGAAAGCCCUGGGCUCAACCUGGGAAUUGCAUUGGAUACUGGCGGGCUAGAGUGCGGUAGAGGAUGGCGGAAUUCCCGGUGUAGCAGUGAAAUGCGUAGAUAUCGGGAGGAACACCAGUGGCGAAGGCGACUUCCUGGCCUGUUCUUGACGCUGAGGCGCGAAAGCUAGGGUAGCAAACGGG
rnacentral:rRNA from 1 species